AGGAGUGUAACUCUAUGAUAGAGUACCUGACUAGCACUCAUGGAGCCCUGGGUUCCACCCCAGCACUUCGA
rnacentral:tRNA from 1 species